UCUCUCAUCAUUCUCCCUUCUCUCAUUUGCUCUCUUGCUACUUAACAAAACAUUAAUAUUCCGGUUUCAUAUUUGAAGUUCAAGUUGAAGAUUAACUGAAGAAGGAUUUAUUUAUUUGUUUGAAUGUAUAUAUAUAUCUAUAUAUUUAUUUUUUUCGCUAUUUUAUUUAUUCGAAUGUUGUAACAAUUGUAACCCUAAAGAUCAUAUAAUAAAUUUAUUUGGGGGUCGUCUA